rnacentral:lncRNA from 1 species
AUUAUCUCCUAUGCUUCUGUGCUUCAGCUAUGUGAUAGAGUGGCCCAGCAGCAUAUACUUUGCUUUUCAUCUGCUACUUUAUGGGCGAUGCCCCCAAUAG